rnacentral:lncRNA from 1 species
CUAACAUGGGCCCUGUAGCUGCUUAAUCUGCACAGCCAUUGAUUCUGUUUCACUAAUUGCUUUUGAUCUGCCAGUGGGGAGUGGGAAACACCCGCAGUUAAUACCUUCGGGUUUGUUUGAGGUGGAGAAAGGAAGGUCCAGAAGUGUCUUUGCAACAAACAAGGUCACUGCUGACCCACAGAGUGUCCGGACGCCAGGAGACCCUCACCAAAGUGUUGACUCCUCUCCUCUGUCACCUUUCAUGCUUGACCACCUCCACCUGUCACAUUUCAGGGUGAGACACAUGAUGCGACAGGAGGAACAGAGAAGCAGAGAUCAGGUUCCCAGGCUUGGGAGGCGACGUCGUGAGCAAACAGGCCGCCCCAUCCAUCAGCAGAGUGGCACUGGCUGUUCCGGUCACUGUGGCUGACAGCAGGACACUGCCGAGUGGAGGGCGGCCGGGGAGAAGAGGAGCCUUCUCUUCACGUCAGAAGCGGAGCCUUGCG